rnacentral:lncRNA from 1 species
AAAAUUAUUUUUCUGUCUUACUACGAUUAUGACCGUGACUGUGAGCGGCUCCCUCCACCACCGCAGAGCACACAGCAGCUGCUGAGGCCGCGGGCUCCCACUGCACGCCCACUGAAGGGUGCCAGGCUGCAGGGUCAAAGCCUCCCUCGCCCGGACCACCAGCGAAGCAGCACCAGAACCCCAGUUUUUCAGCCGGGCUCCGCUGUUCGAACCAGCAGCACGAUCCCAGGUAGCCGCCUCAGAGAGGGAGUCGGCCCGAGGGGAUCGCUGCUGCUUCCCAAGGACGGCAGGCACAAAGGGGCGCCGAGCACGGGUGGGCCCCCACCGGUCAGGGCCCCGCUGGAGAACACGGAUAGGCGAAGCCCGCCGGAUUCCACCGAGGCCCGGCGCGGGCAAGGCUCCAGGAGCGGCCCGACCAGGCCAGGAGACCAUGAGGGGGCCGCGGGAGCCCCGAGCCAGGCCGGGCCCUCCCAGAGGGGGCCGGAGCCCGGGGCCACCCGCCCCGCUGCCCGCGCGCUCCCCGCGCUCCUUACCGCCUUCUCCGACUCUCAAGGCAGCGGCAGGGUCUGUGGCGGCCCGCAGCCCCGGCGCGGCACCCGCUGCUCCCGCUCGGCGCGGCGCGGGGUGUCCGGCGCGGUGGCCGCCCUCAGAGCCCCAUCCUCCCCGCGCCCCGCCACGGCGUCACCGCUCUGCGACGGCCCCGCGAAGCACGACACGGCGCCGCCAUGCCGCCACCGCCCCCGGCACGUGACUGCAGAGCCAGUGCCGCGUGACGCGGGCAGGGAAAGGAGUAGGAAGGGAGACAAAGGGAUGGUAGUGCGCGCAUGCGCAGCGGUGAUUGACAGCUGUAGUGGAGGAGGGCUCAGGGUUUGCUUGCAGUCGUUGGUGGUGUUUGGUGUGGUAUUUAUCGCCUCAGUUUAUUUUGUCUGGGAGAUAAGAGCACUGGCCUGGAGUUAUGGAUGGCUUUUGGGUUCUGUGCUGCUGUUUCAGCGCUCUGGGAACCAUCUCUGGAGACAAAUCAGCAAUUCCACCUUCCUUUUCUUCAGGAUCACAGAACCAAAGAAUGGCUGA